rnacentral:rRNA from 1 species
GACAGAGGGUGCAAACGUUGUUCGGAAUUACUGGGCGUAAAGCGAGUGUAGGCGGUUCUCUAAGUCGGGUGUGAAAGCCCCGGGCUCAACCCGGGAAGUGCACUCGAAACUGGAGAGCUAGAGUAUCGGAGAGGUUGGUGGAAUUCUCGGUGUAGAGGUGAAAUUCGUAGAUAUCGAGAGGAACACCGGUGGCGAAGGCGGCCAACUGGACGAAUACUGACGCUGAGACUCGAAAGCGUGGGGAGCAAACAGG